rnacentral:siRNA from 1 species
CCAGAUUCGACUUUCAGUGACUA